AGUGAACGCUCGCGGUAGGCCUAACACAUGCAAGUCGAACGGCAGCACAGUAAGAGCUUGCUCUUACGGGUGGCGAGUGGCGGACGGGUGAGGAAUACAUCGGAAUCUACUUUUUCGUGGGGGAUAACGUAGGGAAACUUACGCUAAUACCGCAUACGACCUACGGGUGAAAGCAGGGGAUCUUCGGACCUUGCGCGAUUGAAUGAGCCGAUGUCGGAUUAGCUAGUUGGCGGGGUAAAGGCCCACCAAGGCGACGAUCCGUAGCUGGUCUGAGAGGAUGAUCAGCCACACUGGAACUGAGACACGGUCCAGACUCCUACGGGAGGCAGCAGUGGGGAAUAUUGGACAAUGGGCGCAAGCCUGAUCCAGCCAUACCGCGUGGGUGAAGAAGGCCUUCGGGUUGUAAAGCCCUUUUGUUGGGAAAGAAAAGCAGCAGGUUAAUACCCCGCUGUUCUGACGGUACCCAAAGAAUAAGCACCGGCUAACUUCGUC
rnacentral:rRNA from 1 species